rnacentral:siRNA from 1 species
CACUUGAGGUGCCUUAUCCCCG